rnacentral:lncRNA from 1 species
GAACUAAUAUGGGGUUUAUGCUUCCCACAGACAUUUUUUGGUUAAGAACUUAGAGAAAGACACGAAAGCAAGACAAUAGAAAAUAAAAUAUCACAGUCUUUCUCCCCUCCUUCUUUAGGAUCGAAUUUGCUUAUCUUGUGUCUGAAGAUAAAGUUGAAUUCUUCAGCUAGAGGGAGGAGUAAACUUGGUAUCUUCUUUACUUACGGUAACUGCAGAGCAUUGUCAAGAGAAAAGAAUGUUGGGUUUACUCUUUUGAUAUCAAUGGAGUAAAACAGGCAGGGAAGACACAUGUCAGUCAGUCAAAAUGCUUUACUAAACCAGUUUAAAUGGUUUAGGAAUACGUGGUUAGUAUAGAAUUAAGAAAUGAGAUCCUGAAGGUAACUUUGGAAACAAAAAGUGCAGUGGUUGAUCUUUCAUACUCCCAAAUAAAUAUUUUCAUGUGUGUGGUACUUCAGCAUCAGUUCUGUCUGUCCCAUAGCUCUCUGUAGCUGAUGUAGAGCACCACUGCAGUAUGUCCUGAACAGCACAUUCAAGGAGAGAUUCAACUUGCACUUUUAGCGAUUAAUUUCAUUUUGUUAAAACACAAAACCAGUGGAAAAUGUCUGCAUUUCAGUAUCUUGAUAAUAUAAAUGGUUGACAUUUUCAGUGUGAGUAGUUCUAUGAUCAGUGAUACCUGUUUGUGAAACCAAGGUGCUUCCAUUCUUGUGCUCUGCUGAUUGUGUCUUUAUAUAAAAAUCUCAAAUAUUUAAAACAUUUGGAUUUACGAUUUCUGCUGUUGACACUUAGCACCAUUUACACUGUUUGAAAACAUAUUUCAGAAUGAAAAUGUAUUUAGAUUUUUGCCUUUUCAGUGACAGAACAAUUGUGCAGUGAACAAAGGAAAGAUUGAGGAAAUAAUCUCUACAGUUACUAAUGUUCUGCACUGGACAGGAAGUUUCAGAGCAAUUGUCCUGUGGCAAGGCCAGUUAUCAUCAUCACAGCAUGAAGGAUGUAUUGGUCUGACCAAGGCUUCAGUGUCACAAGCAGCUAGGACUGACCUUUUCCCACAUUGCCGAGGUGAAAUCGCCUCACGGUGGAAGCACCUGGCCAGCAGAGCUAGGGCAAGGUGAGCAGCAGGACUUCUGGAGCCUGUGCCAGAGCAGGGCCAGACGUUUCUAGUUUGGUGUUAGAUCCUCUCACCUGUAACCUGACACAGCAAAACACUGGCUGUUGUAACUACACUUUCCCCUGAGCAGUAACAGGAGCGUGAGAUAUUGAAAACUUUCCCGUUUGAACUGCCAUUUCUGGAGUUAUACUUUGCUGUUAAUAAGGAUGUCCAGUUGUUGGGAAAUGCUCACUGGGCAUUCUGGAUUUGCUACCCAGCUCAGGUUUUCA